UGCAGCUGAUGUUUAUCUCACGAUGGUCUUCCAAACCUUGUAGUUAUGACGACAUUGCCAAAUGGCAACACUGAUGCAGUUUC